UUCGUUUUCUUUUCCCUCCAGUAGUUUGUCUCUCUCUUCCAGUCGUCUGUCUCUCUCUUCCAGUAGUCUGUCUCUCUCUUCCAGUAGUCUGUCCUUCUCUCCCAGUCUGUGGUUCCUGACCUCUAGGUGAAGGUCUCGAUCCUUUAGUUGUUUGUCUCUCUCUUCCAGUAGUUUGUCUUUCUCUUCCAGUAGUCUGUCCUUCUCUCCCAGUCUGUGGUUGCUGUCCUCUAGUUGAAGGUAUUUUUCCUUUAGUAGUUUGUCUUUCUCUUCCAGUAGUCUGUCCUUCUCUCCCAGUCUGUGGUUCCUGUCCUCUAGUUGAAGGUAUUUUUCCUUUAGUAGUUUGUCUUUCUCUUCCAGUAGUCUGUCCUUCUCUCCCAGUCUGUGGUUGCUGUCCUCUAGUUGAAGGUCUUUUUCCUUUAGUAGUUUGUCUUUCUCUUCCAGUAGUCUGUCCUUCUCUCCCAGUCUGUGGUUCCUGUCCUCUAGUUGAAGGUCUUUUUCCUUUAGUAGUUUGUCUUUCUCUUCCAGUAGUCUGUCCUUCUCUCCCAGUCUGUGGUUCCUGUCCUCUAGUUGAAGGUCUUUUUCCUUUAGUAGUUUGUCUUUCUCUUCUAAUAGUCUGUCCCUCUGUUCCAUUAUCUGGUUCUUCUCCUCCAGGAGUCUCUCUUUCUCUCUCACUUCUUGGGUCAUAUCGCCCAGUUGUGUGUCUUUCUCUCUCACUUCCUGGGUCAUAUCAUCCAGUUGUGUGUCUUUCU